rnacentral:lncRNA from 1 species
AAAAGAGAAGCAUGGGGCAGUGGCCAGCAGCACGGGCGAAGGCACAAGGGCAGACGGAGGUCUGGGGUUCGAACCUCACCUCGCGCACGGAAGGCUUGGAUUUUUGCUGCUCACGUGGGGGAGAGUCAGAGUUUGACCGAAACUCUCCUAGCCAUGGCUUGAGUCGGUCAAGCGGUGGACUACAGCUGAUGGUGCAAGGAAGUUGGAUAGGAUUUAAAUUGGUGGGGGCUGAAAUUUAGGAGAAAAGUAUGAAAUUUAAAUUUGGGAAGGAAUUUAUGUCGAAAUAAGACUUAUGGCAGAGUACCAAUCCGGCUAUAGGCAAU